rnacentral:misc_RNA from 1 species
AAUUGAACCUGAAACUCCUCCUCAAAGUAAUUAAAAUCAGCAGAAUCAGAAGCCGAACCCGAAUUCAUCUCAGGUACUCUGGGCAAUGCUGCUGAUGCCGGCGUUGUCUGAGGAGACAAAGAUGAAGUUGACCCAGAUUGUUCAAACCGGUUAGUUUGCUGAAUCGGAUCAAGCACAGGAGGUGGUUGAUGAGUAGGAGAGGUGUGAUGAGGGGUAAGGUGAGGAGGAUUAUCGGCCACACCACCGCCG